GACGAACGCUGGCGGCGUGCUUAACACAUGCAAGUCGAACGGAAAGGCCCUGCUUUUGUGGGGUGCUCGAGUGGCGAACGGGUGAGUAACACGUGAGUAACCUGCCCUUGACUUUGGGAUAACUUCAGGAAACUGGGGCUAAUACCGGAUAGGAGCUCCUGCUGCAUGGUGGGGGUUGGAAAGUUUCGGCGGUUGGGGAUGGACUCGCGGCUUAUCAGCUUGCUGGUGGGGUAGUGGCUUACCAAGGCUUUGACGGGUAGCCGGCCUGAGAGGGUGACCGGUCACAUUGGGACUGCGAUACGGCCCAGACUCCUACGGGGGGCAGCAGUGGGGAAUAUUGCACAAUGGGCGGAAGCCUGAUGCAGCAGCGCCGCGUGCGGGAUGACGGCCUUCGGGUUGUAAACCGCUUUCGCCUGUGACGAAGCGUGAGUGACGGUAAUGGGUAAAGAAGCACCGGCUAACUACGUG
rnacentral:rRNA from 1 species